AUCCUUUUGUGUUUCAUAAGCAUGAUGACUACAUUUUCGUGCUAUUGCAUGAGAUGUGCCUCCCUCAAACUUUGUUACAAUAUUGGCAGAUUACUUGUCUAAAC